rnacentral:lncRNA from 1 species
AAGCCGAUGAGUGUGUAUUACUUAGUCGUGUGGUGUGUACUGGUGAACACCAAGUUGUCGGAACGAUAUAUUGAUAUACAUAAAGGUAUGUAUUGAAACUUGGAUAGCCAUUCUGCUAGGUGUGUAUCAUUUGGGCAUGCAGUGUGUAUUGCUGAACACCAUGAUCUGAAAAAUAUGUAUCGAUAUACCUAAAGGUAUGUAUUGAAUCAAUGUUUAGCUGCUAAUGUGUAUUUUCAAUAGUUUAAAGUAUGUAUCAAGAAGCCGAUGAGUGUGUAUCACUUAGCCAUGUGGUGUGUACUGGUGAACACUAAAUUGUCCAAACUAUGUAUCGAUAUACUUAAGGUAUGUAUUGAAACUUGGAUGGCCAUUCUGCUAGGUGUGUAUCAUUUGGCGAUGCAGUGUAUACUGCUGAACACCAUGAUCUGGAAAGUAUGUAUCGAUAUACCUAAAGGUAUGUAUUGGAUCGAUGCUUAGCAUGUAUUAAUAAGCUUAAAAUGUGUAGCAAGAAGCCGAUGAGUGUGUAUCACUUAGCCAUGUGGUGUGUACUGGUA